GGUCCGCUGGCUCAAUGGCAGAGCGUCUGACAACGAUCCUCAGGCUUGACUAAACAUAGUUUUGACUGGAAGGGGUUGCCAGGAGGUUCUAGGUUCGACCCUGGGUGGAUUG